AGAGUUUGAUCAUGGCUCAGGACGAACGCUGGCGGCGUGCUUAACACAUGCAAGUCGAGCGAUGAAGCACCUUCGGGUGUGAAUUAGCGGCGAACGGGUGAGGAACACGUGAGAAAUCUGCCUUCAACACUGGGAUAACUCCGGGAAACCGGGGCUAAUACCGGAUAUGAAAUCUGCGGGCAUCCGCGGAUUUGGAAAGUUUUUCGGUUGAAGAUGAUCUCGCGGCCUAUCAGCUUGUUGGUGAGGUAAUGGCUCGCCAAGGCGACGACGGGUAGCCGGCCUGAGAGGGCGACCGGCCACACUGGGACUGAGACACGGCCCAGACUCCUACGGGAGGCAGCAGUGGGGAAUAUUGGGCAAUGGAGGAAACUCUGACCCAGCGACGCCGCGUGCGGGAUGAAGGCCUUCGGGUUGUAAACCGCUUUCAGCAGGGAAGAAGCGAAAGUGACGGUACCUGCAGAAGAAGCACCGGCUAACUAUGUGCCAGCAGCCGCGGUAAUACAUAGGGUGCAAGCGUUGUCCGGAAUUAUUGGGCGUAAAGAGCUCGUAGGUGGUUCGUCACGUCGGAUGUGAAACUCUGGGGCUUAACCCCAGACCUGCAUUCGAUACGGGCGAGCUUGAGUAUGGUAGGGGAGUCUGGAAUUCCUGGUGUAGCGGUGGAAUGCGCAGAUAUCAGGAGGAACACCAAUGGCGAAGGCAGGACUCUGGGCCAUUACUGACACUGAGGAGCGAAAGCGUGGGGAGCGAACAGGAUUAGAUACCCUGGUAGUCCACGCCGUAAACGGUGGGCACUAGUUGUGGGGACCUUCCACGGUCUCUGCGACGCAGCUAACGCAUAAGUGCCC
rnacentral:rRNA from 1 species